rnacentral:rRNA from 1 species
GAUGAACGCUGGCGGCGUGCUUAACACAUGCAAGUCGAACGGAAAGGCCCAAGCUUGCUUGGGUACUCGAGUGGCGAACGGGUGAGUAACACGUGGGUGAUCUGCCCUGCACUUCGGGAUAAGCCUGGGAAACUGGGUCAAAUACCGGAUAGGACCACUUCUUGGAUGUUGUGGUGGAAAGUUUUUUCGGUGUGGGAUGAGCUCGCGGCCUAUCAGCUUGUUGGUGGGGUAAUGGCCUACCAAGGCGUCGACGGGUAGCCGGCCUGAGAGGGUGUACGGCCACAUUGGGACUGAGAUACGGCCCAGACUCCUACGGGAGGCAGCGGUGGGGAAUAUUGCACAAUGGGCGCAAGCCUGAUGCAGCGACGCCGCGUGGGGGAUGACGGCCUUCGGGUUGUAAACUCCUUUCGCUAGGGACGAAGCGUUUUGUGACGGUACCUGGAGAAGAAGCACCGGCUAACUACGUG